rnacentral:rRNA from 1 species
UACGUAGGGGGCAAGCGUUGUCCGGAUUUAUUGGGCGUAAAGAGCGUGUAGGCGGCCAUGUAGGUCCGUUGUGAAAACUCGAGGCUCAACCUCGAGACGUCGGUGGAAACCGCAUGGCUAGAGUCCGGAAGAGGAGAGUGGAAUUCCCGGUGUAGCGGUGAAAUGCGCAGAUAUCGGGAAGAACACCCGUGGCGAAGGCGGCUCUCUGGGACGGUACUGACGCUGAGACGCGAAAGCGUGGGGAGCGAACGAGG